UACGUAGGUGGCAAGCGUUGUCCGGAAUUAUUGGGCGUAAAGCGCGCGCAGGCGGCCUCUUAAGUCUGAUGUGAAAGCCCCCGGCUCAACCGGGGGAGGGCCAUUGGAAACGUGGGAGGCUUGAGUAUAGGAGAGAAGAGUGGAAUUCCACGUGUAGCGGUGAAAUGCGUAGAGAUGUGGAGGAACACCAGUGGCGAAGGCGACUCUUUGGCCUAUAACUGACGCUGAGGCGCGAAAGCGUGGGGAGCAAACAGG
rnacentral:rRNA from 1 species